GAUGAACGCUGGCGGCGUGCCUAAUACAUGCAAGUCGAACGCCUUGUGGUUCAACUGAUUUGAAGAGCUUGCUCGGAUAAGACGUUGAACAUUGCAAGGAGUGGCGAACGGGUGAGUAACACGUGGGAAACCUACCUCUUAGCGGGGGAUAACAUCUGGAAACAGAUGCUAAUACCGCAUAACACUUAUGACCGCAUGGUCAAGAGUUGAAAGAUGGUUCUGCUAUCACUAGAGAUGGGCCCGCGGUGCAUUAGUUAGUUGGUAAGGUAAUGGCUUACCAAGACGAUGAUGCAUAGCCGAGUUGAGAGACUGAUCGGCCACAAUGGGACUGAGACACGGCCCAUACUCCUACGGGAGGCAGCAGUAGGGAAUCUUCCACAAUGGACGAAAGUCUGAUGGAGCAACGCCGCGUGUGUGAUGAAGGGUUUCGGCUCGUAAAACANUGUUGUAAGAGAAGAACGACACCGAGAGUAACUGUUCGGUGAGUGACGG
rnacentral:rRNA from 1 species